GUAGCUCAGAUUCUCAAGAACAGAAAACAAGGUAAAAUGAUGUGCUCAGCAACCUCAUUUCUGCUCCUGGUGACGUUCUGCGGAACGGUGUCCUGUCUUUGGUAUCCGUGGCCUGGCAAAAAAGAAUGUGUAGCCCCUUCGCUGAACAAAGAUGGUGUAACGCCCGCCUUUUGCGGGGGAUUCGCCGGGGCAAAAUGUCCAUCAAAGACGGACACAUGCACUUUUUUUCCGGGGUCGGACUUCGGUCCCUGCUGUGUGGGUUGUGGUCGAUUUGCACCACCUCCCUCUGUCGCCUGCUACAGAGACUGGGAUUGCCGCCUAGGUGAACGCUGCGUGAAACCCGUCAAUAACUGGUGGGCGAAAGGGGUGUGCUGUCUUUGGUAAUGACGGAGGUUACUAACGCAACGUCUUUGACACACCUGUUGUUGUCGAUGGAAAGCUUCUUCGGAGAACCAACGACUUUAUUAACUUAAAUGAAAAUACAUGAAUUAAAGUUUAUAUUUA